UUAUUUACAAGGAUAGGCCUAAGCUUAGUGGGCUACUAGUUACCAAAAUGUUACGUCAACGCGCUUUGCGUGAUGUUCGUAUUGAAUUUAAAAACAUCAUUGACAAAGAAGCAAAAGAAUGCGAGCUGAUGCAUUUGGAGAUAUUUCACUGUAACUCGGAAGGCAGCUUUGAGUCUGCAACUUUCAGGAUGCCCCUUUUUGGAAUAGCAGAGCCCGUACCUUCUGACCCGCCAACACCAUGGACCAGCUUCAUAUUUCAGUUCGGAGAUGUAUUCAAUUUCAAGAAUUUGGAACUGUUGUUGAACGUUGAAAAUUCCGACGACAGUAGAUCUAAAGUCGACCCAGACCUAUUUGCAGCAUAUAAUUUGUUAGUUGAUUACAUUGCAGAUAAAGAAGCACAUGAUGUUUGCUUAUCAAAUGUUUGCAAAUCCACAGACGGAAGUUUGCCUACAUCAUCUUCAGAGACUGAUAUGGCCUAUGCUUUAGCUUGUCAUUUAUUUAUGCCACUGACUGGUGGAUCCUGUGUCCUAGACAACCACUCAAGGUCGUGGCCGAGGAGUUGUCCAGGUGGCUGCAAAGGAAUAGCUCAGAAAGGACCUACUGGUGUUGCUUGCCUGCUGUGGUGUGGCAACUGUUGUCUGUCCACUCAGUGUUAACUUUUCCAUUUAAACAACUUCAAAUUGACUAAGACUUCAAAAAUCUUCUUCUCUACUCGAGAAUCAGAUAUGGUGGAAUCAAACACUCUUCAUAGAUUGAAGAGUUUUAAGGUGCUGUUCAAAUAUGGCAUGGUUUUGCUGAUAUUUUGAUUGAUAAAAAAAUUCCUCUUAUGAUUUGGAAAGAAGUUCCUGAUGUCCUUACAGAUGAGAAAAGGGAAGACACUUUGGGAGAUUCAGAAAGUGUAGCUGCAGAUGAAUCAUUGUCUCGAUGCUCAUUGUAUUCAUUAAAUGUUGAAGUAAAAAGAUAUGAGCAACCACAUUGCCAGUUAAUAGCACAAACAAUUACCAAUAGUUUUGCACAGGUCAAUGAGAACAAACGGCUCUCAGAAUUUCUCAUUCCAUCUUUUGGCUGUUGCAAUAAUGAGAUUGUGAUUUUUGGAUAUGACUGUGAAAAUGAUGUUCUUGUGAAAAAGAUUGACCCCAUUGCACUUUGGACAGAGGUAGAUGAUGUCUGGCAAUUAUCUAUUUCUGCUAUUGUUCAAAUUUGGAUGUAUAUUCAUUUUCCACUUAUGAUGCUGCCAUCCUUAGCAAAGAGCUAUGAUAAUAAUAUUCAAUCAAAUUUUCACAAAUGCCACACAAUUAAAUUAUUUCGUAAGUAUUCAAAGUGCCACAUUAAAGGGUUUUCACACGAGAGAAGUGUCGGUCUUCUCCAGGCACAGUAUAUGAUUCCAACAAAAAAAAUGAAAACCGAUUGGUAAUAAACUUCCCUUUGUGCCUGCAA